rnacentral:rRNA from 1 species
CGGAACGGGUGAGUAGUGCGUGACCAACCUGCCCCAUGCUCCAGAAUAGCUCUUGGAAACGGGUGGUAAUGCUGGAUGCUCCAACUUGACGCAUGUCUUGUUGGGAAAGUGUUUAGUGGCAUGGGAUGGGGUCGCGUCCUAUCAGCUUGUAGGCGGGGUAAUGGCCCACCUAGGCUUCGACGGGUAGCCGGCCUGAGAGGGCGGACGGCCACAUUGGGACUGAGAUACGGCCCAGACUCCUACGGGAGGCAGCAGAC